rnacentral:piRNA from 1 species
CGGAGGAAAAUGCCGGAUCCGGCGAAAUCU